rnacentral:rRNA from 1 species
AUACGUAGGGGGCAAGCGUUGUCCGGAAUUACUGGGCGUAAAGCGCACGCAGGCUGACUUAUAAGUCGGUAGUCUAAUGCGGAGGCUCAACUUCCGUUUAUCUAUCGAUACUGUAAAUCUGGAGUAUGUGAGAGGGAAGCGGAAUUCCCGGUGUAGCGGUGAAAUGCGGAGAUAUCGGGGGGAACACCAGUGGCGAAGGCGGCUUCCUGGCACAAUACUGACGCUACUGUGCAAAAGCUAGGGCAGCGAACGGGAUGUGAUCCCCCGGUAGUCCUAGCCGUAAACGAUGGAUACUAGGUGUGGGUGUCGCAGGGCAUCCGUGCCGCAGUUAACGCGUUAAGUAUCCCGCCUGGGGACUACGGUCGCAAGACUUAAACUCAAAGGAAUUGACGGGG